rnacentral:lncRNA from 1 species
GUGUAAAAAGAUGAAAAACCAACUAUGAAUUCGAGAAGAAGGUUAAAAAUUGCAAUUCAAUUUUUGAACUAUCACUUCUGAGUUGUUUUUGAAAUAACGAAAAUAGUUUUGAAGAUAGUUGGUGUAAGAAUUACUAAAAGUGUCUAGGUUGUGAUUUGGGUACGACUAAGGGUGUAGGGUAGUGAGUAUUCAAAAUAUAGUUAUCCUAAAUCUGAAGAUACAACAUGUACUUAAACUCGUACCUAACCUCCCCCACACUUAAAGGAUAUAUUGU